GGUUGCGAUCAUACCAGCACUAAUGCACCGGAUUCCAUCAGAACUACGCAGUUAAGCGUGCUUGGGCGAGAGUAGUACUAGGAUGGGUGACCCCCUGGGAAGUCCUCGUGUUGCAACCC
rnacentral:rRNA from 1 species